AUCUUUUUUCUAGUUCAUAAGUAUGAUGAAUGGGUUGUCACACACAUGUAUGAGAUGUGCCUUCCUCAAACCUUGUUACGUCAGCACAUUACCUAUCUGACG